rnacentral:rRNA from 1 species
UACAGAGGGGGCAAGCGUUGUCCGGAAUCAUUGGGCGUAAAGCGCGUGUAGGCGGUCCGGUAAGUCCGCUGUGAAAGUCGGGGGCUCAACCCUCGGAUGCCGGUGGAUACUGUCGGGCUUGAGUACGGAAGAGGCGAGUGGAAUUCCUGGUGUAGCAGUGAAAUGCGCAGAUAUCAGGAGGAACACCAAUUGCGAAGGCAGCUCGCUGGGACGUUACUGACGCUGAGACGCGAAAGCGUGGGGAGCAAACAGG